CGUGCUGGGCAGUGCUGCUGCUCCUUUGGAGGACAGGAUCUUACCUGGAGACUGCGGGGUCCCUUGGGAGCAGCUUGGAUGCCAGUUUGUCCUGGUGCGUGCCAGGAAGCCUGGGAUGGGGUAAGGAAGAAGCACUUCAUCUCGCAGCCCUUCCAGACACAAAGCUUUGCUGCUGCCCCAGCCGUCCUGCACAGCCCGAGCUCAUCUCACAGGCAACAUCAGAGCACGUGGGGCAUGCUCACAGAAGUCUGAAUUGCCUAGAUGCAGCUGGAACGGGACGGCUGAGAAGUUGCUAUUACAGCAGUCUCCUCGGUUUAAGCUUGUGCUUUGGGAGAGACGACAAGGGGUCUGUGUAUCCAAAAAGCAAGCAGCCCGUGGCUUCUCUACAGAUGUCCCCUGAGGUUUUGAAGCACAUCUAAAGCAGGUUGCGUGGCUGACAUGACACAAGCCUGUAACACAGCAGCAGCAGCCGAUAUCUCCCAGCUCCCCGGCCCCGCGCAUCGCACCGGGCAGGAGCCCGCGUGCACUCACAGCAGCAGCCCACGGACGCUGCGGAUGGCAGCACCCACAGCCAUCACGCGGCCGCACGUUUCGCUACGUGCUGGGCUCCACAGAUGAGUGCAUCCAGCAGCAGCAAGAGCCCCCGAUGACUAAUCCUGGCCGGAGCUGCUCUCUGUAUUACGCACCGCAGCGUUCGCUCCCCAGCGGGCUUGGACCGGGGACGGCGAGCCCUGCCCGCCCUGUGGUUGUCACCUCGCCAGCCCCCGGGGACACAGGCGGCCACGCAAGGGUUGUGGCAGUAUGAGAGCCGGCAGCACCCUUUGGGACAGGUUCCUGCACUGAUACUACGCCGACCAGCUGACUCCACAAAACUACAAGAGCUGUUUUUGCUGCUGAGGCGAGCAGAUUUUCAAGAACCAGCUCAUCCCUGGAGCACCACGGCGGAGCGGAAUGUGGGACACGGACAUCUUGGCCUCUUCAAUCCCAAAGCUACAAACGCUUCCACCACAUGUGCACACCAAGCCCUCGGGAGCUCAGGACACCAGACUGGGAAGAUGGAUGCUGAAGACAGCAGGGCUGUACCAGCUGUUUUGGAAACAGGACGCCUCCACCCGGCCUUUACAACCCAUACCAUCAAGGCGGUUAUUAAACUGAUACUUGCCACCUUCAGUGAUGAUUUUGGCUGGCGCCAAGCGGCACCGCAGCGAGGGAGCGGCGCGAGCCACCGAGCAUCCUCCCAGCCAGCUUUCAGCCCUCCUCCAGCCCCAGCAGCAAGGGCUGGGCACAGGGCAGACACCGCAGCGCUGGUUUCCAUUUCCUGCUGCAUGCUGUACCCCCCCCCUGCUAUUGCAAGAAGGGGCAUAGGCCACAUCCUGAGAUCAGACGGCCAUCCUUACCCAAAGCUCGUAACAUGA
rnacentral:lncRNA from 1 species